rnacentral:rRNA from 1 species
AGCGAACGCUGGCGGCAGGCUUAACACAUGCAAGUCGAGCGGACCUUUCGGGGUCAGCGGCGGACGGGUGAGUAACGCGUGGGAAAGUGCCUUCCGGUUCGGAAUAACCCUGGGAAACUAGGGCUAAUACCGGAUACGCCCUUAUGGGGAAAGGUUUACUGCCGGAAGAUCGGCCCGCGUCUGAUUAGCUAGUUGGUGGGGUAACGGCCUACCAAGGCGACGAUCAGUAGCUGGUCUGAGAGGAUGAUCAGCCACACUGGGACUGAGACACGGCCCAGACUCCUACGGGAGGCAGCAGUGGGGAAUAUUGGACAAUGGGCGCAAGCCUGAUCCAGCCAUGCCGCGUGAGUGAUGAAGGCCUUAGGGUUGUAAAGCUCUUUUAUCCGGGACGAUAAUGACGGUACCGGAGGAAUAAGCCCCGGCUAACUUCGUG